rnacentral:rRNA from 1 species
GAGUUUGAUUCUGGCUCAGGAUGAACGCUAGCGACAGGCUAACACAUGCAAGUCGAGGGGUAACAGGGAGCUUGCUCCGCUGACGACCGGCGCACGGGGAGUAACGCGUAUGCAACCUGCCUAUUACAGGGGGAUAACCCGGAGAAAUUCGGAUUAAACCGCAUAAUACUAUUGGAUGGCAUCAUUUAAUAGUUAAAGAUUUAUUGGUAAUAGAUGGCAUGCGUCCCAUCAGCUAGUUGGUGAGGUAACGGCCCACCAAGGCUACGACGGGUAAGGGCCUGAGAGGGUGGCCCCUCACAAUGGCACUGAAACACGGGCCAUACACCUACGGGUGCAGCAGUAGGGAAUAUUGGUCAAUGGGCGCAAGCCUGAACCAGCCAUGCCGCGUGAAGGUGACGGCCCUAUGGGUUGUAAACUUCUUUUGUACGGGAAAAAACCACCGGUCGUGUAUCGUGCUGAUGGUACCGUAAGAAUAAGCAUCGGCUAACUCCGUGCCAGCAGCCGCGGUAAU